rnacentral:rRNA from 1 species
AUCUAUACAGUGAAACUGCGAACGGCUCAUUAAAUCAGUUAUCGUUUAUUUGAUAGUACCUUACUACUUGGAUAACCGUGGUAAUUCUAGAGCUAAUACAUGCUAAAAGUCCCAACCCUCCGGAUGGGACGUAUUUAUUAGAUAAAAAACCAAUGCCUUCGGGCUUCUUGGUGAUUCAUGAUAACUUUACGAAUCGCAUGGCCUUGUGCCGGCGAUGGUUCAUUCAAAUUUCUGCCCUAUCAACUUUCGAUGGUAGGAUAGUGGCCUACCAUGGUUUCAACGGGUAACGGGGAAUUAGGGUUCGAUUCCGGAGAGGGAGCCUGAGAAACGGCUACCACAUCCAAGGAAGGCAGCAGGCGCGCAAAUUACCCAAUCCCGACACGGGGAGGUAGUGACAAUAAAUACUGAUACAGGGCCCAUUUGGGUCUUGUAAUUGGAAUGAGUACAAUUUAAAGCCUUUAACAAGGAACAAUUGGAGGGCAAGUCUGGUGCCAGCAGCCGCGGUAAUUCCAGCUCCAAUAGCGUAUAUUAAAGUUGUUGCANUUAAAAAGCUCGUAGUUGAACCUUGGGUCUGGGUGACCGGUCUGCGUCCCCGCAUGCACUGNAAACCCGGAUCUUUCCUUCUGGAGAAUCGCAUGCC